GACGAACGCUGGCGGCGUGCUUAACACAUGCAAGUCGAACGGAAAGGCCCUGCUUUUGUGGGGUGCUCGAGUGGCGAACGGGUGAGUAACACGUGAGUAACCUGCCCUUGACUUUGGGAUAACUUCAGGAAACUGGGGCUAAUACCGGAUAGGAGCUCCUGCUGCAUGGUGGGGGUUGGAAAGUUUCGGCGGUUGGGGAUGGACUCGCGGCUUAUCAGCUUGUUGGUGGGGUAGUGGCUUACCAAGGCUUUGACGGGUAGCCGGCCUGAGAGGGUGACCGGCAACAUUGGGACUGAGAUACGGCCCAGACUCCUACGGGAGGCAGCAGUGGGGAAUAUUGCACAAUGGGCGGAAGCCUGAUGCAGCAACGCCGCGUGCGGGAUGAGGGCCUUCGGGUUGUAAACCGCUUUCGCCUGUGACGAAGCGUGAGUGACGGUAAUGGGUAAAGAAGCACCGGCUAACUACGU
rnacentral:rRNA from 1 species